GAUCUCACCUCUCCCCACUUGCUGUCCUCGUCCAGGCUGACGACCAUCUUCACGUGUCGUCCCUCCUUCCUCAUCCCUCCUUCUCCCCCGGUGUCAUCCAGCAGCAUGUCUGACAGGAGGGCAGAGAAAAGGCAGACAAAGCUCGGUCUUACCAAGGCUAGUGGACUCGCUGGUGGUCAGGUUGAGGCUGUGCUGGGACAUAGCCGGUCCGGAACCCUGAGCCUGGCUGUGUGUGUGAGGGGGAGGAGGAGAGGAUGAGAUGGAGACCUGGGAGCCCAUCCUGCUGCCCUUAUUCUCCACCUUCAGACGACCUGCAUGCGGUUCAUGGCCUCCCUGAGCUGGUCCAGCUGAUGAGCGGAGCUGAGGGCCUCCAGCCGGAUGUCUGUCAGCUUCAUCUCCUUCUCCCUGAGCUCACUGCGCAGCUGCAUCACCGUCUCUGCCUCGCUGUCCAGACACUCAGACAAUCUACACACACACACAGUUACACACGAGUUGGAGUGUGUGUUCCUGAGCAUGUGACUGGAGGCCGCAGAGCCGUUGUGAGGAAGUUUGGGCGAGGACGGCAGCGACGAGUCGGUCAUCUCCUCGAUGUCAGAGUGAGAGGAUGCCGACUUUGGAGACUUCUUCUUGCUGAACGCUUGUUUGAAGGAGCUCCGCAGCUGCAGGGAGAAAACAGAGAGAGAGAGAGACGACAUGAGCGGGUGAGAGACGCACUCCCGACAACACUGAGAGGAGGAGGAGGAGGAGGAGGAGUGUGCUGGGACAGUGGAGGAAAGCAGCUGCUAAAAAGUGCAAGUGAGGGAGAAAAGGGAAUUAUGGGAAGACUGUCUGACGACCUGAGUGACGGCUCUGGACACAAACCAUGAGAGUGUGUGCGUGUGUGUGUGUGUGUGUGUGUGUUAGUUACAUUGUGUGUUUUCAGACAGAGGUUGGAUUUAUAGCUCCUAAGCCACAUAGUCAAUGUUUUGUUUUUGUUAAUGAAUCAUGGUGUUUAUGAUUGAUGGAGUUUUUAUCAUAUGUAACGUGUGGAACUGUGGUCUUAAGAUAAUAAAGAAAACAUUUUAGAGGAAGCAGAUUUUAUCUCAGACUUCUGGACAACGACAGAAUGAAAAUCUUUGUGUGUGUGUUUUCAUGCUGACGAGAGCUAUUAAACUUAUUUAUUUGAUUCUGUGGUUGCACAAAUUAUUUUACUAAUUUAGAAGGACUCAACAUGAGUUAGACAAUCUGUCAUUUUAACCAUUCGUACAGCUCUUUGAUUUCCUUCCUUAUUUAUCUUGGGCUGAGAGAGCAAUGACUACUACUGUGAAUAUCAUGUCAUGUCUGUGGAGGUGGUUUUAUUGCAGUAAUGAGAAAGAGAGACUACGGGUUGUUUGGAUCAUUUUUUGUUGUGUGUGUCUGAUGUACCUUUCAUGUUGUUGUGUUUUUUAAGCUGUGUUGUACU